rnacentral:rRNA from 1 species
ACUCCUGCGGGAGGCAGCAGUGGGGAAUAUUGGACAAUGGGCGCAAGCCUGAUCCAGCCAUGCCGCGUGAGUGAUGAAGGCCCUCGGGUUGUAAAGCUCUUUCACCGGUGAAGAUAAUGACGGUAACCGGAGAAGAAGCCCCGGCUAACUUCGUGCCAGCAGCCGCGGUAAUACGAAGGGGGCUAGCGUUGUUCGGAUUUACUGGGCGUAAAGCGCACGUAGGCGGACUAUUAAGUCAGGGGUGAAAUCCCGGGGCUCAACCCCGGAACUGCCUUUGAUACUGGUAGUCUUGAGUUCGAGAGAGGUGAGUGGAAUUCCGAGUGUAGAGGUGAAAUUCGUAGAUAUUCGGAGGAACACCAGUGGCGAAGGCGGCUCACUGGCUCGAUACUGACGCUGAGGUGCGAAAGCGUGGGGAGCAAACAGGAUCAGAUACCCUGGUAGUCCCAU